UGUCUCUCUCUGUCUCUCUGUCUCUCUGUCUCUCUGUCUCUCUGUCUCUCUCUCUCUCUCUGGAGUGCACAGAUGGUUAUGAGUGGGCUGUUCAGAGUCAGCACUGUAAAGAAGGCUGCCGGUGGGAGAUGAAGUGUUUUAACCACUAUAGCGGCUACCUGUGUCUCCCACGCUCUGCCUCUGUCAUCACCGCCCCUGAACCCUCCAGCUGGUCAGUGGCUACCCUGCCUGUGGAGUCCUUCGAGGCCUUGAGAUUGAGUCAUCUGUGGAUCUGUUGCAAAUUGGAGUGGGUCCAGGCUGUCUGAGAUGAUAUUGAAACGAACAACAUCAGUGUGAUGAUGGUCCAGGCCCAUGCUGUGACCGGCCCCGAAGAGUACAACCUGGAGCUGGUGUCUGUCAACCCCCUCAUGAUCUAUCAGACAAGCUCUGCCCUACGACUGUCUGUCUUUGUAGGACCAUCUGAGGAGACAGAUGGAGCAAAGAGCAGGAAACGGAAAUAGAAAGUGGGAGACAGAUGUGAGAUGAGAAUAACUGUUAAGGGCAUGAGAUGGGAACAUUUCUCAGCACGGUACUACUAGACAUGCAUCUUAAAGAAAUC
ensembl:lncRNA